rnacentral:rRNA from 1 species
CCCUGCCAUUUGUACACACCGCCCGUCGCACCUACCGAUUGAAUGAUCCGAUGAAAUCUUGGGAGAGACGGCCUUUGCAUUUACUUGCGCGGGCAGUUUCCAACUUGAGUGAAUCUUAUCAUUUAGAGGAAGGUGAAGUCGUAACAAGGU